AUGCGGCUGAUAAGUCCCAAACAGGACGAAACGCGCGUCCUCAAU
rnacentral:hammerhead_ribozyme from 1 species